rnacentral:rRNA from 1 species
CAAAGGAAUUGACGGGGGCCCGCACAAGCAGCGGAGCAUGUGGUUUAAUUCGAAGCAACGCGAAGAACCUUACCAGGGCUUGACAUCCACAGUAGGCAUUAGAGAUAGUGCUGUGCCUCGUAAGAGGAACUGUGAGACAGGUGGUGCAUGGUUGUCGUCAGCUCGUGUCGUGAGAUGUUGGGUUAAGUCCCGCAACGAGCGCAACCCCUAUUGCUAGUUGCUACCGCGUAGAGGCGAGCACUCUAGCGAGACUGCCGGGGACAACUCGGAGGAAGGUGGGGAUGACGUCAAA